UACGAAGGGGGCUAGCGUUGCUCGGAAUCACUGGGCGUAAAGCGCACGUAGGCGGUUCUUUAAGACAGAGGUGAAAUCCCAAGGCUCAACCUUGGAACUGCCUUUGAUACUGGGGAUCUCGAGUCCGGAAGAGGUGAGUGGAACUGCGAGUGUAGAGGUGAAAUUCGUAGAUAUUCGCAAGAACACCAGUGGCGAAGGCGGCUCACUGGUCCGGUACUGACGCUGAGGUGCGAAAGCGUGGGGAGCAAACAGG
rnacentral:rRNA from 1 species